GAUAAACGCUGGCGGCGUGCCUAACACAUGCAAGUCGAACGUCCUCUGUUUUCUUUUCGGAGGAAAGAGAGGGAGUGGCGGACGGGUGAGUAAGACAUGGGAACCUACCCUGAAGUGGGGGAUACCGGCGAGAAAUCGCCGACAAGCCCGCAUGGGUCUGGUUGUGGAGACACAAGCAGGCAAAACCCGCGAGGGUGCUUUGGGAUGGGCCUGUGGCCGAUUAGCUAGCUGGUGCGGGUAAUGGCCCACCAGGGCGACGAUCGGUAGCUGGUCUGAG
rnacentral:rRNA from 1 species